CCUACGGGGGGCAGCAGUGGGGAAUAUUGGACAAUGGGGGGAACCCUGAUCCAGCCAUGCCGCGUGUGUGAAGAAGGCCCUCGGGUUGUAAAGCACUUUCAGUGAGGAAGAACGCCUGGUGGUUAAUAUCCAUCAGGAAAGACAUCACUCACAGAAGAAGCACCGGCUAACUCCGUGCCAGCAGCCGCGGUAAUACGGAGGGUGCGAGCGUUAAUCGGAAUUACUGGGCGUAAAGCGCGCGUAGGUGGCUUGAUAAGCCGGUUGUGAAAGCCCCGGGCUCAACCUGGGAACGGCAUCCGGAACUGUCAAGCUAGAGUGCAGGAGAGGAAGGUAGAAUUCCCGGUGUAGCGGUGAAAUGCGUAGAGAUCGGGAGGAAUACCAGUGGCGAAGGCGGCCUUCUGGACUGACACUGACACUGAGGUGCGAAAGCGUGGGUAGCAAACAGGAUUAGAUACCCUUGUAGUC
rnacentral:rRNA from 1 species